CCCUACGGGGGGCAGCAGUGGGGAAUAUUGCACAAUGGGGGAAACCCUGAUGCAGCAACGCCGCGUGAAGGAAGAAGGGUUUCGGCUCGUAAACUUCUAUCGAUAGGGACGAAGGAGAUGACGGUACCUAAAUAAGAAGCCCCGGCUAACUACGUGCCAGCAGCCGCGGUAAUACGUAGGGGGCAAGCGUUAUCCGGAAUUACUGGGUGUAAAGGGAGCGGAGGCGGCAAGGUAAGUAAGAUGUGAAAGCCCGCAGCUUAACUGCGAGGAUUGCAUUUUAAACUAUCUAGCUUGAGUACAGGAGA
rnacentral:rRNA from 1 species